UCUAGAGGGAAGUGUCCCUGCCUAUAGCAGGGUGGUUGAAACUAAAUGAUCUUAAAGGUCCCUUCCAACCCAAACCAUUCUAUGAUUCUACAGAAUUAACACUGAAGAAUCCUCUGGAGCUGGCCUUCACCAAGAUGUCCGUUCCAAAAGCUCACCCCUUUGAUCUUGGUAGAUGAGAGUGUUUCCCAGAAGCUGUGAAAACUUUUCCUGAAAUGAUCCCACUCUGCCUUCUGGCUGAAGAAUAUGACUGAUGUCUUUUCUUCCCCAGUGCAGAAGUACAUCUGUGGAGUAGAGAGACUAGAUGCUGAGAGAAAUCUGCUAUCACCAACUGCAGCAAAGAAGGCUUUACUCAAUGAAGGAAAUGCUCACUGGGAUGGGCGAUUAUGGGGCUGGAGCCUACCUGGGGUAGAAUAAGCAUCUGGACCGCUGAGCCUUCAUCCAGAUGGAAAGCUCUGAACGUAUCAGUUAAGUCAGCCUAACAUUCAGUGAAAUGAACUUUUACAUAUAUAGGAGUUUACCCUGUCUGAACGCUUGACUCCUUUGGAUAACAAAGCAGUGCCAUUUAUGACAAGUGCAGUGUCCAGGUGGCUAAAGAAUGACUAAGCCUUCAGCAUUUCUUCUGAGAUCACGAGUACGGCAACUUAACAACAGAUUUUCCUAAUAGUUUUAUGAUGUAAACUGCCUCACAAAUAAGAAAAUGAGCAAGACUAGUGAAAUAAAUCAUUUCAUAUAAUGUUUUUCAGACCAUUAUUUUCAACAAGAAUUGAACUGGUGACUUGAAGACAAUAAACCCAAAUCAUCUGCUGGACUCCUUCAUCCAUUCUUCUCAUAAUCUUGAACUGCAUUUCAAUAUCAACACUGUAGAAAACGAAGAAGAUUGAUGGCCACUUAAGAAAUUUUUCUAGACUAGUUUUACCACUUAGGUAACCAGCUAUUUAUAAAGCCACUGAAACAGCAUCCUACUGGUUUAUGGUCUCACAGUAUUUAUCACAAGAAUGAAGAACAAGUUCCAUGUUGGAUACUUGCAUCUUGAAACAUUAUGCAAGUGUAAGGAGGUGAGGAGCUGCACAAACAAGUAGCUUCAGACAUUGUCAGGGUAUUUAAUUCAGAUGUCAACAUUUUUGUGGGUUUCCCUGUAUGAUUUCUUGGCAAAAUGUAACCUAUGGGACAACUGCAUUCAUCCUGGCCCAGCAUCCUGGAACCAGGUAUGCAGUUCCCAUCUACUUUGGGAAGAAAAUGCAUGAGCAAAGUAAGAGCACAGUGGAGGUUGCUUUUGGGGUGCCAAAGAGAGCUGGACUGUGAAAUACUUGUUCUUCUGAAUCUGUGCUAUAUGAAAAUUCAGAACUCCUCUGAGAUAACACAGUGUAUAAUCACAAAGCCAGAUGUACUUCUAGAUUCCUUUCUGAGAUCAACUCAGAGGUACUCCCUGGCCUCUGGUAAAAUGGGGGAAACUGCAGUGUAGUGCCAACAUCAUCCUGCUUAGGAUCCCCAGAAGAGCAGUCUGUCUUCAUAAUAUCAGGUGACAGGAAGCUGGUAAUUAUAUUUUGAAAAUAAAGAUUUUU
ensembl:lncRNA